rnacentral:rRNA from 1 species
UACCAGCACCCCGAGUGGUCGGGACGAUUAUUGGGCCUAAAGCAUCCGUAGCCGGUUCUACAAGUCUUCCGUUAAAUCCACCUGCUUAACAGAUGGGCUGCGGAAGAUACUAUAGAGCUAGGAGGCGGGAGAGGCAAGCGGUACUCAGUGGGUAGGGGUAAAAUCCUCUGAUCCAUUGAAGACCACCAGUGGCGAAGGCGGCUUGCCAGAACGCGCUCGACGGUGAGGGAUGAAAGCUGGGGGAGCAAACCGG